UGGGGAAUAUUGCACAAUGGGCGCAAGCCUGAUGCAGCAACGCCGCGUGAGGGAUGACGGCCUUCGGGUUGUAAACCUCUUUUAGCAGGGAAGAAGCGAAAGUGACGGUACCUGCAGAAAAAGCGCCGGCUAACUACGUGCCAGCAGCCGCGGUAAUACGUAGGGCGCAAGCGUUAUCCGGAAUUAUUGGGCGUAAAGAGCUCGUAGGCGGUUUGUCGCGUCUGCUGUGAAAUCCCGAGGCUCAACCUCGGGUCUGCAGUGGGUACGGGCAGACUAGAGUGCGGUAGGGGAGAUUGGAAUUCCUGGUGUAGCGGUGGAAUGCGCAGAUAUCAGGAGGAACACCGAUGGCGAAGGCAGAUCUCUGGGCCGUAACUGACGCUGAGGAGCGAAAGGGUGGGGAGCAAACAGGCUUAGAUACCCUGGUAGUCCACCCCGUAAACGUUGGGAACUAGUUGUGGGGUCCAUUCCACGGAUUCCGUGACGCAGCUAACGCAUUAAGUUCCCCGCCUGGGGAGUACGGCCGCAAGG
rnacentral:rRNA from 1 species